AGGAUGAACGCUGGCGGCGUGCCUAACACAUGCAAGUCGAGCGGAGACAGUGAGUAGCUUGCUAUGAGCUGUUUUAGCGGCGGACGGGUGAGUAACGCGUGAGCAACCUUUCCCAGACAGGGGAAUAACACACCGAAAGGUGUACUAAUACCGCAUAAGACCACGGGAUCACAUGGUUCUGGGGUAAAAGAUUUAUCGGUUUGGGGUGGGCUCGCGUCCGAUUAGGUAGUUGGUGAGGUAACGGCCCACCAAGCCGACGAUCGGUAGCCGACCUGAGAGGGUGAUCGGCCACAUUGGGACUGAGACACGGCCCAAACUCCUACGGGAGGCAGCAGUGGGGAAUAUUGGGCAAUGGAGGAAACUCUGACCCAGCAACGCCGCGUGGAGGAAGAAGGUUUUCGGAUCGUAAACUCCUGUCCUUGGAGACGAGUAGAAGACGGUAUCCAAGGAGGAAGCCCCGGCUAACUACGUGCCAGCAGCCGCGGUAAUACGUAGGGGGCAAGCGUUGUCCGGAAUAAUUGGGCGUAAAGGGCGCGUAGGCGGCUCGGUAAGUCUGGAGUGAAAGUCCUGCUUUUAAGGUGGGAAUUGCUUUGGAUACUGUCGGGCUUGAGUGCAGGAGAGGUUAGUGGAAUUCCCAGUGUAGCGGUGAAAUGCGUAGAGAUUGGGAGGAACACCAGUGGCGAAGGCGACUAACUGGACUGUAACUGACGCUGAGGCGCGAAAGUGUGGGGAGCAAACAGGAUUAGAUACCCUGGUAGUCCACACUGUAAACGAUGAAUGCUAGGUGUAGGGGGUAUCGACCCCUUCUGUGCCGCAGUCAACACAAUAAGCAUUCCGCCUGGGGAGUACGGCCGCAAGGUUG
rnacentral:rRNA from 1 species